rnacentral:rRNA from 1 species
AACGAACGCUGGCGGCGCGCCUAAUACAUGCAAGUCGAGCGAGAAGACGUAGCAAUACGUUUGUAAAGCGGCGAACGGGUGAGGAAUACAUGGGUAACCUACCCUCGAGUGGGGAAUAACUAGCCGAAAGGUUAGCUAAUACCGCGUACGCUCCUUGGACUUCGGUUCAGGGAGGAAAGCGAUACCGUGGGUAUCGCGCUCAUGGAUGGGCUCAUGUCCUAUCAGCUUGUUGGUGAGGUAACGGCUCACCAAGGCUUCGACGGGUAGCUGGUCUGAGGGGACGAUCAGCCACACUGGCACUGCGACACGGGCCAGACUCCUACGGGAGGCAGCAGUAAGGAAUAUUGCGCAAUGGGCGAAAGCCUGACGCAGCGACGCCGCGUGGGGGAUGAAGGUCUUCGGAUUGUAAACCCCUUUCGGGAGGGAAGAUGGAAUGGGGUAACCCAUUCGGACGGUACCUCCAGAAGCAGCCACGGCUAACUUCGUGCCAGCCGCCGCGGUAAC